AUGUCAGCAACCAACCAACCAACCAACCCCAUCAUGUCUGCAACCAACCAACCAACCCCAUCAUGUCUGCAACCAACCAACCAACCAACCAACCAUAAUGUCAGCAACCAACCAACCAACCACCAUCAUGUCUGCAACCAACCAACAACCCCAUCAUGUCUGCAACCAACCAACACCAUCAUGUCUGCAACCAACCAACCAAACAACCAACCCCAUCAUGUCUGCAACCAACCAACCACCCAUCAUGUCUGCAACCAACCAAACCCCAUCAUGUCUGCAACCAGCCAACCCCAUCAUGUCUGCAACCAACCAACCAACCAACCCCAUAAUGUCUGCAACCAACCAACCAACCAACCAACCUACCCAGUCAUGGCUGCAACCAACCAGCCAACCAACCAACCGGCCAACCAACCAACCCCAUCAUGUCAGCAACCAACCAACCAACCCCAUCAUGUCAGCAACGAACAAACCAACCAACCCCAUCAUGUCAGCAACCAACCAACCAACCCCAUCAUGUCUGCAACCAACCAACCAACCAACCAACCAACCACACAACCAACCCCAUCAUGUCAGCAACGAACCAACCAACCAACCCCAUCAUGUCAGCAACCAACCAACCAACGCUAUCAUAUCUGCAACCAACCAACCAACCAACCACCCAACCAACCCCAUCAUAUCUGCAACCAACCAACCAACCAACCAACCAACCAAGUCAUGGCUGCAACCAACCGGCCAACCACAUCAUGGCUGCAACCAACCAGCCAGCCAGCCAGCCAGCCAGCCAAUCGGCCAACCACAUCAUGUCUGCAACCAACCAACCAACCAACCAACCAACCCCAUCAUGUCUGCAACCAACCAACCCCAUCAUGUCUGCAACCAACCAACCAACCAACCAACCCCAUCAUGUCUGCAACCAACCAACCAGCCAACCCAGUCAUGGCUGCAACCAACCAACCAGCCAGCCAACCAACCAACCAGCCAGCCAGCCAACCAACUGGCCAACCACAUCAUGGCUGCAACCAGCUAACCAACCAACCAGCCAGCCAACCAACUGGCCAACCCCAUCAUGUCUGCCACCAACCAACCAACCAACCAACCAACCAACCAACCAACCAACCAACCAACCGGCCAACCACAUCAUGUCUGCCACCAACCAACCAACCAACCAACCAACCAACCAAGCAACCGGCCAACCACAUCAUGGCUGCAACCAACCAGCCAACCAGCCAGCCAGCCAACCAACCAACCAGCCAUCCAACCCAUCAUGUCUGCCACCAACCAACCAACCAACCAAUUGGCCAACCACAUCAUGGCUGCAACCAACCAGCCAGCCAAACAACCAACCAACCAGCCAACCAACCAGCCAGCCAGCCAACCAACCAACCAACCAACCAGCCAUCCAACCGCAUCAUGUCUGCCACCAACCAACCAACCAACCAACCAAACGGCCAACCACAUCAUGGCUGCAACCAACCAGCCAGCCAACCAACCAACUGCCACCAACCAGCCAGCCAACCAACUGCCACCAACCAGCCAGCCAAACAACCAACCAACCAGCCAACCAACCAACUGCCUCCAACCAGCCAGCCAGCCAACCAACCCCAUCAUGUCUGCAACCAACCUGCCAACCAGCCAGCCAACCAACCAACCGGCAACCAACCAGCCAACCAACCGGCCAAUCAACCAGCCAACCCCAUUAUGUCUGCAACCAACCUGCCAGCCAACCAACCAACCAACCAAUCCCAUCACGUCUGCAACCAACCAGCAUGUCUGCAAUGUAUGGAAUAA
rnacentral:lncRNA from 8 species